GCGCCCGUGGUGGAAUUGGCAGACACGCCUGGCUUAGAACCAGGUGCCGCAAGGCUUCCGAGUUCAACUCUCGGCGGGCGCA
rnacentral:tRNA from 1 species